rnacentral:lncRNA from 1 species
AAGUGCAAGCCAUGAGCCCAAACUCAAGCAUCAAACCCUACAACACAAAACCAAUGUUAGUUUACAACAUCAAACAAAACUCAAUUUACAACUUGCAUUGUUCUCCUUAAGGCUUUUGCAUUUCAACCUGAAAAUCCAAACCAAAUGUGAGAAACUAGACCACUAGGCCAAGCCUAGGGUCCAAAGGAGAUGAAAAAAUCAAAACAGCAAGUGAAAAUUAUCCAACAUCACACUUAAACAAAUCAGAAGCAAAUGCAAUUGGUCCCAUGCUCAUAUCAAUCACCAUUAUCAUUUUAUGCACAAAAUA